GGGGAAUAUUGGACAAUGGGCGAAAGCCUGAUCCAGCAACGCCGCGUGAGUGAUGAAGGCCUUAGGGUUGUAAAACUCUUUUAGUAGGGAAGAUAAUGACGGUACCUACAGAAAAAGCUCCGGCUAACUUCGUGCCAGCAGCCGCGGUAAUACGAAGGGAGCGAGCGUUACUCGGAAUUACUGGGCGUAAAGAGUGCGUAGGCGGCUAGGUAAGUUAGGAGUGAAAUCCUCGGGCUCAACCCGAGAACUGCUUCUAAAACUGCCUAACUAGAGUGCUAGAGGAGAUAGUGGAAUUCUUGGUGUAGAGGUGAAAUUCGUAGAUAUCAGGAGGAACAUCGGUGACGAAAGUGACUAUCUAUUUAGCUACUGACGCUGUUGCACGAAAGCAUGGGGAGCAAAC
rnacentral:rRNA from 1 species